CAAGCGCGCAAAUUCCCCACUCCCGGCACGGGGAGGUAGUGACGAAAAAUAACGAUACGGGACUCAUCCGAGGCCCCGUAAUCGGAAUGAGUACACUCUAAACCCUUUAACGAGGAUCAAUUGGAGGGCAAGUCUGGUGCCAGCAGCCGCGGUAAUUCCAGCUCCAAUAGCGUAUAUUAAAGUUGUUGCGGUUAAAAAGCUCGUAGUCGGAUCUGUGUCCCGCGCCGCCGGUUCAUCGCUCGCGGUGUUAACUGGCGUGCCCGCGAGACGUCCUGCCGGUGGGCUUAGCUCGUUCGCGGGCGGCCCAACUUCAAAUCCCACCGCGGUGCUCUUGACUGAGUGUCGAGGUGGGCCGGCACGUUUACUUUGAACAAAUUAGAGUGCUUAAAGCAGGCUAAAACUUCGCCUGAAUACUGUGUGCAUGGAAUAAUGGAAUAGGACCUCGGUUCUAUUUUGUUGGUUUUCGGAACCCCGAGGUAAUGAUUAAUAGGAACGGAUGGGGGCAUUCGUAUUGCGACGUUAGAGGUGAAAUUCUUGGAUCGUCGCAAGACGGACAGAAGCGAAAGCAUUUGCCAAAAACGCUUUCAUUGAUCAAGAACGAAAGUUAGAGGUUCGAAGGCGAUCAGAUACCGCCCUAGUUCUAACCAUAAACGAUGCCAGCUAGCGAUCCGCCGACGUUCCUCCGAUGACUCGGCGGGCAGCUUCCGGGAAACCAAAGCUUUUGGGUUCCGGGGGAAGUAUGGUUGCAAAGCUGAAACUUAAAGGAAUUGACGGAAGGGCACCACCAGGAGUGGAGCCUGCGGCUUAAUUUGACUCAACACGGGAAACCUCACCAGGCCCGGACACCGGAAGGAUUGACAGAUUGAGAGCUCUUUCUUGAUUCGGUGGGUGGUGGUGCAUGGCCGUUCUUAGUUGGUGGAGCGAUUUGUCUGGUUAAUUCCGAUAACGAACGAGACUCUAGCCUGCUAACUAGGCGUAUUUUCGACAUCUCAAAGGCCCGCCGGCCCGGCGCUCUCGCGUCGUGGUCGCGCGCGGUUUUUACUGUCGGCGUACAAUCAAUUCUUCUUAGAGGGACAGGCGGCUUCUAGCCGCACGAGAUUGAGCAAUAACAGGUCUGUGAUGCCCUUAGAUGUUCUGGGCCGCACGCGCGCUACACUGAAGGAAUCAGCGUGUCCUCCCUGGCCGAGAGGCCCGGGUAACCCGCUGAACCUCCUUCGUGCUAGGGAUUGGGGCUUGCAAUUGUUCCCCAUGAACGAGGAAUUCCCAGUAAGCGCGAGUCAUAAGCUCGCGUUGAUUACGUCCCUGCCCUUUGUACACACCGCCCGUCGCUACUACCGAUUGAAUGAUUUAGUGAGGUCUUCGGACCGGUACGCGGUGGCGCUACCGCGUCGCCGAUGUUGCUGGGAAGAUGACCAAA
rnacentral:rRNA from 1 species